rnacentral:rRNA from 1 species
GGUGAACGCUGGCGGCGUGCCUAAUACAUGCAAGUCGGGCGGGCUGUGGGUUUACUCACGGCUAGCGGCGUACGGGUGAGUAACGCGUGGGUGACCUACUUGGAAGAGUGUGACAACCUGGGGAAACCCAGGCUAAUUCCCCAUUUGGUCAUGUUCUGUUGGGCAGGAUUAAAGGGUCGACCCGCUUGUGGAUGGUCACGCGUCCCAUCAGCUGGUUGGUGCGUUAAGAGACCACCAAGGCGACGACUGGUAGCCGGUCCGAGCGGAAGGCGGGCGACAGGGGCACUGAGACACGGGCGCAACUCCUAGGGGGGGCAGCAGUGAGGAAUCUUACGCAAUGGACGGAAGUCUGACGGAGCGACGCCGCUUGGAGGAGGAAGCAAUUCGGUGUGUAAACUCAUGAACACGGGACGAAAGAACUGAUGAGGGGGAUGAGGGUACUGGGGUAAUAGCGCCGGCCAACUCCGUG